rnacentral:rRNA from 1 species
GGUUAUACAAAUAAUACAAAUAAAAAUUUUUAGUAUUAGUUAAAUGAUUAAAUUUAUAAUAUAAAUUUAAAUUUAUUAGGUGAAAUUUUUAAAUUUAUUUAUUUAUUAUUAUUAAAAAUAAUUUAAGCUAUAAACUUUUUAUAAUAAACUAGGAUUAGAUACCCUAUUAUUAAAAAUAAAUAUUUAAAUGCUAAAGUAGUAUUAGUUAUAUUCUUAAAAUUUAAAAAAUUUGGCGGUGUUUUAGUCUAUUUAGAGGAAUCUGUUCUGUAAUUGAUAAUUCACAUUGAACCUUACUUAAAUUUGUUUAAUUUGUAUAUCGCCGUCAUCAGAAUAUGUUAUAAGAUAAAAAUUUUCUAAAAAUUUAAUUUAAUAAAAUGUCAGGUCAAGGUGCAGUUUAUAUUUAAGUAGAAAUGGAUUACAAUAAUUUUAUUUAAAUGGAUAAUUUUUUGAAAUAAAGAUUUGAAGGUGGAUUUAAUAGUAAUAUAAAAGAGAUUAUUUAUAUGAUUUUAGCUCUAAAACAUGUACAUAUCGCCCAUCGUUCUUAUUUUUAAAAUAAGAUAAGUUGUAACAUAGUAGAUGUACUGGAAAGUGUAUCUAGAAAGA